AUCUCCUGGGGAUCUUGUUAAAAUGCAGAUUUGAUUCAGGGGGGUAUGGCCUGAAAUUUUGCAUUUCUAACAAGAUUCCAGGUGAUGCGGA
rnacentral:pre_miRNA from 1 species